CGGCGAGUAGCGCAGCUUGGUAACGCAACUGGUUUGGGACCAGUGGGUCGGAGGUUCGAAUCCUCUCUCGCCGACCA
rnacentral:tRNA from 1 species